rnacentral:rRNA from 1 species
AUUGAACGCUGGCGGCAGGCCUAACACAUGCAAGUCGAACGGUAACAGGAAGCAGCUUGCUGCUUUGCUGACGAGUGGCGGACGGGUGAGUAAUGUCUGGGAAACUGCCUGAUGGAGGGGGAUAACUACUGGAAACGGUAGCUAAUACCGCAUAACGUCGCAAGGCCAAAGAGGGGGACCUUAGGGCCUCUUGCCAUCGGAUGUGCCCAGAUGGGAUUAGCUAGUAGGUGGGGUAACGGCUCACCUAGGCGACGAUCCCUAGCUGGUCUGAGAGGAUGACCAGCCACACUGGAACUGAGACACGGUCCAGACUCCUACGGGAGGCAGCAGUGGGGAAUAUUGCACAAUGGGCGCAAGCCUGAUGCAGCCAUGCCGCGUGUAUGAAGAAGGCCUUCGGGUUGUAAAGUACUUUCAGCGGGGAGGAAGGGAGUAAAGUUAAUACCUUUGCUCAUUGACGUUACCCGCAGAAGAAGCACCGGCUAACUCCGUG